GAAACUGAAUGGGUAUUCUUUUCACAUAUAAUGAAGCCCCGUUUUGUAUCCGGAUCCGCUAAUUCGGAUCCGUAUAUAUGUUAUAAAAAAAUUAAUAUUUCCAAUCUUCAUUUGCUGUCCGCCUCCAACCAUCCACUUUCAAACCCUAAUUUCUCAUCCAGAACAACAAUCAAUCCCAAAAAUGUUGAGACACGCUGCUAAGAGAAUCACAGGGUCAGGAUUAGCCCCGACACGGUGGUCUUCACCGGCGGCGAACCGGUUUUAUCAUGAGAGGGUUGUGGACCAGUACAAUAAUCCCCGUAACGUUGGCGCGUUUGACAAGAACGAUCUGAUGUAAUACAGGGUCUGGAGUGGAAUAGUGGGUUCCUUCAACAUGCGGCACCACCAAAGCUGUCAACGACAGAUUCAAGAUGGAAUUUGAGUUAUCGAGGGUGUAUGGCCUAAGUUACUUUGAGAUUGGUGAUAUUAAACUGUUGAGAUUAGGGAAAUUAGGAGAAUGUUUGGAAAAAAUAUGUCGAUAUUCCAAGUCCAAAUGAAAGCGAACUUGCACAUUUAACAGGAAUGCAAACAGAGAGCUUUGAACAAAUUAGCCUAGCUGAUUCCGAAUGUCACAAAUUGGGUUAAAGAGGUCCUUGUGAAACUUAGUGGGCGAGGAUCGGUUUUGUUCUUUGGAGAAAAGAACCAAUUAAACAAGUUGAUUAGCAGUUCAGUAUUGGGGAAAGCUUGGUCUCUUUGACAUCUUUAGUGCUCAUACAUGGAAGGGUAUGUAUAUGUUUGAAUCAGGUAUACAUUUAUUCGAAUGGUAGGCAAUUUGCACAACGGUUAAUAUUUAGAUAUAAAAAGUAUGGCUACUUAAGGAAAUAUUUAUGUGGAUAAUUCGUCACGAGAGCGGGGUAAAACUUGAUCCUUAGAUUGGGAGACCAAUUGUGUAUGGGUUGGCCGCAAAAGGGAGAGUAUGGAGUUAGAAGAAAUGUGGAAGGAUGAACUCUCAAUGAUAUGUGGAUGUCACUUUGUUUAUGAUUUAUGAAGUGACUUCAAGGUUAUUAAAUUUUAUGUGUUUGUUAAAUCAAAGAGGACUUGCAUCUAUAACGUUGGAUGUGGCAGGGCGUGCUACGCCAACCUAACUGAGUUCAUGUUACUUUUAGUAAAUUGUAAAUGUAACAUUAUUUUGUCGUUUUCUUGAUGUUUUUAUAUACGUCUUAUAAAGAAAACUUUAUACCUAA